rnacentral:rRNA from 1 species
AUGAACGCUGGCGGCGUGCUUAACACCUGCAAGUCGCACGAUGAAGCCCAGCUUGCUGGGUGGAUUAGUGGCGAACGGGUGAGUAACACGUGAGUAACCUGCCCUUAACUCUGGGAUAAGCCUGGGAAACUGGGUCUAAUACCGGAUAGGAGCGCCUACCGCAUGGUGGGUGUUGGAAAGAUUUAUCGGUUUUGGAUGGACUCGCGGCCUAUCAGCUUGUUGGUGAGGUAAUGGCUCACCAAGGCGACGACGGGUAGCCGGCCUGAGAGGGUGACCGGCCACACUGGGACUGAGACACGGCCCAGACUCCUACGGGAGGCAGCAGUGGGGAAUAUUGCACAAUGGGCGAAAGCCUGAUGCAGCGACGCCGCGUGAGGGAUGACGGCCUUCGGGUUGUAAACCUCUUUCAGUAGGGAAGAAGCGAAAGUGACGGUACCUGCAGAAGAAGCACCGGCUAACUACGUG